rnacentral:rRNA from 1 species
AACGAACGCUGGCGGCAUGCCUAACACAUGCAAGUCGAACGAGACCUUCGGGUCUAGUGGCGCACGGGUGCGUAACGCGUGGGAACCUGCCUUUAGGUUCGGAAUAACAGUGAGAAAUUACUGCUAAUACCGGAUGUGCCCUUCGGGGGAAAGAUUUAUCGCCAAAGGAUCGGCCCGCGUUGGAUUAGGUAGUUGGUGGGGUAAUGGCCUACCAAGCCGACGAUCCAUAGCUGGUUUGAGAGGAUGAUCAGCCACACUGGGACUGAGACACGGCCCAGACUCCUACGGGAGGCAGCAGUGGGGAAUCUUAGACAAUGGGGGAAACCCUGAUCUAGCCAUGCCGCGUGAUCGAUGAAGGCCUUAGGGUUGUAAAGAUCUUUCAGUGGGGAAGAUAAUGACGGUACCCACAGAAGAAGCCCCGGCUAACUCCGUG